rnacentral:lncRNA from 1 species
CUGCUGUGGCUGAGCCUUGGGGUGAAGACAGGCAGCUGCUCCCAACCCCAGAACCUUUGCUGUCUUGGGACGGAUCACCGCUGCAAGAGGGGAAGUUGCUACUGUGAUGAAUUCUGCCAUGUGGCACCAGACUGCCACCCAGACCACAGUGUCCUCUGCAACCCUGGUCAAAGGUGCCUACAUGCUCCUUCUAGCUUUGUUUCCCUGAUGUUCCUUGCCACCUGCUACUCCUCUCUGAGCUACUUUUCCAGCUUCUCAGAUGACCAAGAUGGUGCUGCAGAUGGUGCUGAGGAUGGAGAACCCACCAAGCCCCG